AUACGUAGGUGCCAAGCGUUAUCCGGAUUUACUGGGCGUAAAGGGCGUGUAGGCGGUCUUGCAAGUCAGAAGUGAAAUUCCUGAGCUCAACUCGGGCGCUGCUUCUGAAACUGCAGGACUUGAGUGCUGGAGGGGAUAGCGGAAUUCCUAGUGGAGCGGUAAAAUGCGCAGAUAUUAGGAAGAACACCGGUGGCGAAGGCGGCUAGCUGGACAGUAACGGACGAUGAGGCGCGAAAGCGUGGGGAGCAAACAGGAUUAGAGACCCUGGUAGUCCACGCCAUAAACGAUGAAGACUAGGUGUAGGGGGUAUCGACCCCCUCUGUGCCGACGUUAACCCAUUAAGUAUUCCACCUGGGGAGUACGGCCGCAAGGCUGAAACUCAAAUGAAUUGACGGGG
rnacentral:rRNA from 1 species